AUUGAACGCUGGCGGCAUGCUUUACACAUGCAAGUCGAACGGUAACAGGUCUUCGGAUGCUGACGAGUGGCGAACGGGUGAGUAAUGCAUCGGAACGUGCCCAGUCGUGGGGGAUAACGCAGCGAAAGCGGUGCUAAUACCGCAUACGAUCUAUGGAUGAAAGCGGGGGACCGGAAGGCCUCGCGCGAUUGGAGCGGCCGAUGUCAGAUUAGCUAGUUGGUGGGGUAAAGGCCCACCAAGGCGACGAUCUGUAGCUGGUCUGUGAGGACGACCCGCCCCACUGGGACUGAGACACGGCCCCGACUCCUACGGGAGGCAGAAGUGGGGAAUUUUGGACAAGGGGCGCAAGCGUGAUCCAGCAAUGCCGCGUGCAGGAAGAAGGCCUUCGGGUUGUAAACUGCUUUUGUACGGAACGAAACGGUCUGGGUUAAUACCCUGGGCUAAUGACGGUACCGUAAGAAUAAGCACCGGCUAACUACGUGCCAGCCGCCGCGGUAACAC
rnacentral:rRNA from 1 species